CCUACGGGUGGCAGCAGUGAGGAAUAUUGGUCAAUGGACGAGAGUCUGAACCAGCCAAGUAGCGUGAAGGAUGACUGCCCUAUGGGUUGUAAACUUCUUUUAUAUGGGAGUAAAGUGUUCCACGUGUGGUUUUUUGUAUGUACCAUAUGAAUAAGGAUCGGCUAACUCCGUGCCAGCCGCCGCGGUAAUACGGAGGAUCCGAGCGUUAUCCGGAUUUAUUGGGUUUAAAGGGAGCGUAGGUGGAUUGUUAAGUCAGUUGUGAAAGUUUGUGGCUCAACCGUAAAAUUGCAGUUGAAACUGGCAGUCUUGAGUACAGUAGAGGUGGGCGGAAUUCGUGGUGUAGCGGUGAAAUGCUUAGAUAUCACGAAGAACUCCGAUGGCGAAGGCAGCUCACUGGACUGCAACUGACACUGAGGCUCGAAAGCGUGGGUAGCAAACAGGAUUAGAUACCCUGGUAGUC
rnacentral:rRNA from 1 species